ensembl:lncRNA
GAAAAGCUCUGUCACAGCUGCUAGGAUAGUCUCCUGUUAUACUCUCAUGUCUAGUUGCUAGUGCACAAGAAAAAUCACAAAAGUACCUAAUAAAAAGAACAAAACUGGCCACCUGUGGGUGCCAUCUGGUGGUGAGCACUCUGAUCCUGAUCCAGCAAUGUUUUGGAAUGCAUGCUUACCUUUAAAGGCAUGAACGUUCUUCUGAAGUGUGUAAGCUAAAUCACGCACAGCCUGCUAGGCACGUUGGAAGAAUGAAUCCUAAUGCAAGUCCUCCUAUGGAGAUUCAUUAGAAGGGCAAAUAUUUUAAGAACUAAGGCUUGUAGCAACCCUGAGAAGGAAAAAGCACUUCUUGCUCAUGGGAAGACUGAAGAACAAGGCAAGGAGAUCUGUUGUGAUGUCACAGGACACAUGAGAAAGCAUGGAAGGGCUGGGAACAGAGCUCAGCAGCUAUCUUCAUUCUGCUGUCUUUGCCACAGUGUUGGAUCUGCCUUGCCAAUGUGUUUAGACUGUUACUGUAAUCUGGAAUACAACCUGCUUACUGUGACGGUAAUGCUUUUUUCUUCAGGCAAUACAUUCACAAACAGUACAUUUUGCCUGUUGUGCUGCUGUUGUCUGGUAAUUUGA